rnacentral:rRNA from 1 species
CAGUAGCCGCGGUAAUACGAGGGGGGCAAGCGUUGUUCGGAAUUAUUGGGCGUAAAGGGUGCGUAGGCGGUCUGAUAAGUCGUGUGUGAAAUCUAUGGGCUCAACCCAUAGUCUGCAUAGGAAACUGUCGGGCUUGAGGAUGGGAGAGGUGAGUGGAAUUUCCGGUGUAGCGGUGAAAUGCGUAGAUAUCGGAAGGAACACCUGUGGCGAAAGCGGCUCACUGGACCAUUACUGACGCUGAUGCACGAAAGCUAGGGGAGCAAACAGGAUUAGAUACCCCCGUAGUCCCUGUCUCUUAUAC